rnacentral:rRNA from 1 species
GAUGAACGCUGGCGGCGUGCCUAAUACAUGCAAGUCGAGCGAACGGACGAGAAGCUUGCUUCUCUGAUGUUAGCGGCGGACGGGUGAGUAACACGUGGAUAACCUACCUAUAAGACUGGGAUAACUUCGGGAAACCGUAGCUAAUACCGGAUAAUAUUUUGAACCGCAUGGUUCAAAAGUGAAAGACGGUCUUGCUGUCACUUAUAGAUGGAUCCGCGCUGCAUUAGCUAAUUGGUAAGGUAACGGCUUACCAAGGCAACGAUGCAUAGCCGACCUGAGAGGGUGAUCGGCCACACUGGAACUGAGACACGGUCCAGACUCCUACGGGAGGCAGCAGUAGGGAAUCUUCCGCAAAGGGCGAAAGCCUGACGGAGCAACGCCGCGUGAGUGAUGAAGGUCUUCGGAUCGUAAAACUCUGUUAUUAGGGAAGAACAUAUGUGUAAGUAACUGUGCACAUCUUGACGGUACCUAAUCAGAAAGCCACGGCUAACUACGUG